rnacentral:misc_RNA from 1 species
GCAAAAUAACCAUGACCCACUCACGCUCUCGGGAAAAAUCUAACACCGCCGUGAACCACCGUACAAAUUCCCCCAAAUCACCGGAAAAUUCAACGCUUCCACCGAUCACCAAAACAAUCACAAAAUCUGCUGAAAGUCACAGACUCUUCACCCUAAGCGACGAAAUCGCACUCCUCAAAACCCUAUCACAAUCCCCAAACAGCAACGAACUCCGAACUGGAAACUUCACCGAGGCGCAAAUCGCGAAUAAGCUGAAGAAACUGAAAGAGAAGUACCACAAGUUGGCUAGAUCCAAAUCCCAAAUCAAAACUCCGCACGACGGCGAGAUUUACGAAAUUGGGCGAAAGAUUUGGGGUCGAAAUGCAGCUAAGGGAAAGGAGUUAUUAGUAGUAGUAGGAGAAGAAGAUCAUGAUGAAGAUGAAGAUGUGAAUUUGGAUGAUUUUUCUUUUUUGGUAAAUGAAAUGACAAUGGUGUUUCAGAGGAAUGAGUAUUGUAAACAAGGGUUAAGGAAAUUGGGGAAGAAGAAAUUGAUGGAGAUGAAUGAGAAAUGGAUGGAGCUGAAAUUGAAAGAAUCUGAGCUUAUGAUGAAUAAAACUCAGCUGUAUCAUGAAAACCUCAAAGUUGUUGUUGAAGGUUCAAAGGGUUCUAACAGUAGCAAUUGAAUUACUAGUUGAAUUGAGAGAUCUUUCGAUCGAUUUAGUUAGUUAGUUGAGUAAUUCACAGGUAAUGUGAACCCUUCUAGAUGUGAACCUUAAUUCAGUAUGAAUGCUUCAAUUUUUAGUUUGAAAUUCUAG